UACGUAGGGGGCGAGCGUUGUCCGGAAUCAUUGGGCGUAAAGCGCGUGUAGGCGGCCCGGUAAGUCCGCUGUGAAAGUCCAGGGCUCAACCCUGGGAUGCCGGUGGAUACUGUCGGGCUCGAGUCCGGAAGAGGCGAGUGGAAUUCCUGGUGUAGCGGUGAAAUGCGUAGAGAUCCGGAAGAACACCGGUGGCGAAGGCGGCCUGCUGGGCAGUUGCUGACACUGAGGCGCGACAGCGUGGGGAGCAAACAGG
rnacentral:rRNA from 1 species